UACGUAGGUGACAAGCGUUGUCCGGAUUUACUGGGCGUAAAGAGCGCGCAGGCGGUCGUUCAAGUCGAGUGUGAAAGCCCCCGGCUCAACUGGGGAGGGUCAUUCGAUACUGAUCGACUCGAAGGCAGGAGAGGGAAGUGGAAUCCCGGUGUAGUGGUGAAAUGCGUAGAUAUCGGGAGGAACACCAGUGGCGAAGGCGACUUCCUGGCCUGUUCUUGACGCUGAGGCGCGAAAGCUAGGGGAGCAAACGGG
rnacentral:rRNA from 1 species